rnacentral:rRNA from 1 species
UACAGAGACUGCAAGCGUUAUUCGGAUUCACUGGGCGUAAAGGGUGCGCAGGCGGUUUGGUGUGUCAGGUGUGAAAUCUCGGGGCUUAACCCCGAAACUGCGCCUGAAACUACCAGACUAGAGUAUUGGAGAGGGUAGCGGAAUUCACGGUGUAGCAGUGAAAUGCGUAGAUAUCGUGAGGAACACCAGAGGCGAAGGCGGCUACCUGGACAAUUACUGACGCUCAGGCACGAAAGCGUGGGGAGCAAAAGGG